rnacentral:rRNA from 1 species
GGGUCAGUAGGUCGGUCGUGCCACCGGUACGUACUGGUCUCACUGAUUCCUCCAUCCUGAAGAACCGUAAUGCCAUUAAUUUGGUGUUGCGGGGAAACAGGACUGUUACUUUGAAAAAAUUAGAGUGUUUAAAGCAAGCUAACGCUUGAAUACAUUAGCAUGGAAUAAUGAAAUAGGACAAUCGAUCCUAUUUUGUUGGUUUCUAGGAUUGACGUG